GGUGGAUCAGUGGUUAAAUCAGUCGGCUGUUAACUGAAAAGUUGGUGGUUCGAACCCACCAGCCA
rnacentral:tRNA from 1 species